UCCAUUCCUCCCCAAUCCCGAAGCCGCCGUCACCUUGUUCGGAAGCUUGUCCCAUUGCCGCCAGAUCCCUUCUUCCUCGGGAUUUUCUCUCGAUCUGGACCAAUCCCGCAGCCUCCUCUCGAUCUAGAGCCCGAGCGGCCGAACCCCGUUGUCCUCGUCCGCCCGUCGCGCCUCCGCCGACCAAGCCGCCGUCAUGCAGCCUUGCCUUCGUUCCCGCGAUCCCGCGCCAGCCAGCAGCAACAGCAACAACUCCAUGGAGGUCGCCGCUGCCAUGAACACAUUCAGCCCGUCAAUUUGCACUGGAGCUCUGGAUCCAGCCAUUUGAUCCUGUCAUUGAGCAUCCAGGAACCCUGUAGCCUCGCCGCCCCGUCGAAUUCCUGGAGCCGCCCUUGUCCGAUGCUGCUUCCUUCAUCGCCCGGCGCCGCCACUAAGGUGCACUUGCUCUACAACGAACGAGGAGGACGAGAUGAAUGUUUCCUCCCCAAUUGCUGCUGCCGUUGUUGACCCAGGCGCCAAGCCCCGUGCUCCUCUACAUCGCCAUGGCCACAUGCCUCGUUGUUUCCCCGCACUGAGCAACUUCGCUCGUAUCUGAAAAUUCGCUGUUCUUUCCUAGAUACAUUCUGGCGAAUAGAGGAUAUUUAGAUUUGCCACCAUUUUCUAGCACUAGCAGUUUAGCUAGCCCAUUGGUUCUUCCCUUAUGCACACAACCAGGAGAUCCUGUGUUCGAUCCCCAGCCGCCCCUAUUUCUUUUUACUUUGCACACACGCACACGGCCACGUUGGGCCGGAACUGCUACUGGGCUUGCUUAGUGCGCUGUGUUCGGCCCGUUUUCCUUUUUUAUUUCUAUACUAUGGUUUUUAACAAUUAAAUCCUGGACAUGCAUAUUACAGAAAAUGCCAUGAUUUUUAAUUGCUCACAACUAAAUAACCGUGCAUCGGAUUUAAACAUGUCAUAUAGUUAACUUGCUCAGUUUUUCAUGCACUUUCAUAAUAUGCCAUUUUCAACCAUGUUUGAAGUGUUUAAAAUGUUGUUUGAUAUAAUUUGCAUAAAUGCCAUGCUAAAAUGAUUUAAUUCAUAACU